CAUGAAAGUUAUUAACCUCACAAAACCUCAAUCUCUCUGAUCUCGGAAGCUAAGCUGGGUUGGGCCUGGUUAAUACUUAGAUGGGAGACUACCUAGAAAGACCAGGUGCUAUAGGC
rnacentral:rRNA from 1 species